rnacentral:misc_RNA from 1 species
GUUUUCUCCCAAUGAAAUCUUUUGCUCUGAGCCACACAUUCACCAGUUGACUCAUACUGAUGAAGAGAACUCGUCUUCCCCUCCACUUUCCUUCAUAUAUAAUUUUGGUUGAUUUGUUAAUUAGCUCUGCAAAAACAGCAUCCCCUUUUACACAGCUGCCGCUAUAAUUCCUCCAUCCGAUUGGCGGGAAGCGAUCCUUCUUCUCUCUUAUAAGGUUUUCCCUUUCAUCUGAAAUCUGUUAAAUUUAAUAUAUUUUUGCUCAAUUUUCUAAUAUAGUCUUCUACUUAUUAAUAAUUGAUUUUCAUAUAAAUCGCUUGUUUUAAGAUUCUUUUCUGGCUGAAAUAUUAUUACAAAUACAUGCUGGAAUUGGCUUAUUCACAAAUUAAUGCAGAUUUAUAACUAUUUGGUAGAUGCUUUGAUUCAUCAAUGCAUAUGGUUAAAUGAACAUUUAGUACUCAUAUAUAGUUACCGUAUGGAUGAUAUUGUUUCUUUUUAUUAUUAUUAUUAUUUGAAAAGAUGCAUAUUUCUCUCUUUAUUUUGAAUUCACUUUGCUAAUAUGUAAUUUUUCAAUUAAAAAUUUCUGCAAUAUCCAUUUAUAAACAACUUUUCUUUUUAAUUUGUCGAGAAAAAAAAAAUCAAUUAUAAAGGAUUUAUGUGUUUAAAAA